rnacentral:rRNA from 1 species
AGGACGAACGCUGGCGGCGUGCUUAACACAUGCAAGUCGAGCGGAAAGGCCCUUCGGGGUACUCGAGCGGCGAACGGGUGAGUAACACGUGAGUAACCUGCCCCUAGCUCUGGGAUAGCUCCGGGAAACCGGGAUUAAUACCAGAUACGACCACUUUAGACAUCUGUCGUGGUGGAAAGGAUUCCGGCUAGGGAUGGGCUCGCGGCCUAUCAGCUUGUUGGUGGGUAACGGCCUACCAAGGCGACGACGGUA